UACGUAGGGGGGCGAGCGUUGUCCGGAGUACUGGGCGUAAAGGGCAUGCAGGCGGUCCGACACGUUUUGUGUGACAGCGGGAUGGCUUAACUACCCGAGGAUACGAAAGACGGUAGGACUUGAGGACUCGAGAGGGACACGGAAUUCCGGGUGGAGUGGUGAAAUGCGUAGAGAUCCGGAGGAACACCGAAGGCGAAGGCGAGUG
rnacentral:rRNA from 1 species